GCUCUCUGCGGGGACUGGAGCGAGUCCACGCCCGGGGCCAGAGCUGCAGAGCUGGCGUGUAUUCAACCAAUGCUUCCCAGCUAAAGCAAGCACAGGAAAGAAGAGAGGGGAAAGGACGAGGGAGAGCUUUUCUCCAAAGCAGGGUCAAAGUUGAUUGGUGCCACGUUGAAGGGGUAAGAGGGAGCUGGAAGGGGGAGACCCAGGAGGUGUCACCCUUGGGUCUGAAAGGUGGAGGAUGAACGGAGCAGCAGAUAGUCCAACUGAUUUAGAAAUGACAGCCCCCCAAAAACAAGAUCGAUGGACCCAGGAAGACAUGCUGACCCUCUUAGAGUGCAUGAAAAAUAACCUGCCCUCCAAUGAUGGCAGCAAGUUCAAAACCACCGAAUCCCAUUUGGACUGGGAUAAAGUUGCCUUCAAAGACUUCUCUGGUGAUAUGUGCAAGAUGAAAUGGAUUGAGAUCUCCAAUGAGGUAACCGCUUGCUGGGCUUAAAGAGGACUGACAUGAAAUGAUGCUUUACUUAGGAUGAGUUCUGGUGUAGGCUGGACUUGGAAUUCUGUGUUUGUUAAUUUAAUUUGAGCAUUUGAUCCAGGAACAGUUCCAAUGUGAUGACAAGGUCUUUUGUGCUGUCUGCCUAUAGAGGUUUCCCCAUUUGUGUUUUGGGAACUCUUUCAAUAUAUU